rnacentral:rRNA from 1 species
UACGUAGGGUGCGAGCGUUGUCCGGAAUUACUGGGCGUAAAGCGCACGUAGGCGGCUUUGUAAGUUAGAGGUGAAAGCCCCGGAGCUCAACUCCGGAACUGCCUUUAAGACUGCAUCGCUUGAACGUCGGAGAAGGUAAGUGGAAUUCCGAGUGUAGCGGUGAAAUGCGCAGAUAGUCAGGAGGAACACCCAAUGGCGAAGGCAGCACUCUGGGACGUGACUGACGCUGAAGACGGCGAAAGCGUGGGGAGCAAACAGG